GCUGUGACUCAAUGGUAGAAUAUCUGCUCGGCAUGCAGAAGGUCCCAAAUUCAGAUCCUGGCAUCUGCA
rnacentral:tRNA from 1 species